rnacentral:misc_RNA from 1 species
UUUCCGUAGGUGAACCUGCGGAAGGAUCAUUAAAAAAUUGGACUCCAUUGGUGAGUUCAUUAAUAAUCCCUACCCUUUGUGAAUUUGUUUGUUUGAAUAAUUUUUUUUCCAAAAAAAAUUAUUGAAUGUCUUUCCCUGUUUUGGUGGAGCUUGUAAAGUGAAACCAGGCAGGGGAAUGGCAAACAAUAAUUAUUUUUGAAAAAAGACCUUUUUUUAAAAUUAAACUUUUUGUAUUCAUUUGUCUAAAAUUAUUUUUAUAAUAUAAAAACAACUUUUGACAAUAGAUCUCUUGGUUCUCGCAACGAUGAAGAACGCUGCAAAAUGCGAUAAGUAGUGUGAAUUGCAGAAUACGUGAAUCAUCGAAUCUUCGAACGCAUAUUGCACUUUUUUAGUUUACUAAAAAAGUAUGUCUGUUUGAGUAUCAGUAAAAUAUUCUCAUAAAAAACAUUGUUUUUUUAUGGUUAUGAGUGUUUUACAACGAUAACAAGUUGUUUCACUUUAAAUUCUUUGUUAUCAAAAAAAUCAUUAAAAGCUAAUUUUAAAGAUUUUUUAAAAUUGGAUAAAAUUUUCCCGUAAAAAGGAAUAACCUAAACAAUUUUAAAAAAUUAAAAUUGGUUUGAUUUUUUUUGAAACCCAAAGGAAAAAAAAAACGAAAUUAACUUGAUCUCAAAUCAGAUAAGAGUACCCGCUGAACUUAAGCAUAUCAAUAAGCGGAGGAAAAGAAACUAACUAGGAUUCCCUCAGUAACGGCGAGUGAAGCGGGAAGAGCUCAAAUUUGAAAUCUUCAAGGUUUUACCUUGACGAAUUGUAGUUUAAAGAAGUGUUUUCUGUUGGAGUUUUGGUAAAAGUUCUUUGGAAAGGACAUCAUAGAGGGUGAGAAUCCCGUAUUUGACCAUUAUCUCCAGCUUUGUGAUACACUUUCAAAGAGUCGGAUUGUUUGGGAAUGCAGUCCAAAAUGGGUGGUAAAUUUCAUCUAAAGCUAAAUACUGGCGAGAGACCGAUAGCGAACAAGUACCGUGAGGGAAAGAUGAAAAGAACUUUGAAAAGAGAGUUAAACAGUACGUGAAAUUGUCAAAAGGGAAGCGUUUGACACCAGUGUUGUUUUCUCGAAAAUCAAUUAAAAAAGGCGGAUUUUGUGUUGUAUUGACUUAUCAGCUUGCUGCACUUUUUCUUGCUUUUUUUAAUGCACAUUUCGUUUAACAAGUCAACAUCAGUUUCUUUUGUUGUAAAAGGGUCAUUGGAAGGUGGCUUUCUUUUCGGAGAAAGUGUUUAUAGCCUUUGAUCUCUGCAAUCGGAGAGAUUGAGGUCUGCAGCGUAGAUCCUUCGGGGUUAGAUACAUUUGUGCUAAGUUACAGCUUUCAUAGACAACUUGUUGACUAUGAUCAGUCAUGUAGCUUACUCGCUUAUGCUAUUU